AGGAUCUUGUACACUCCCAUUCUCUCCAGAUAGUUCCAGGCAUUUAUGAUGGUUUUUUUGUUUUGUAGUGGGAAAUCCUCUAUGCUUCCACGAGCCUGAUGCCACAGAGGAGGAUAGGCAUCCUUUUUGCCGACAUCAUCUUGGGUUAGUGCUACUACAGUUGCUGGACUGAGAACAACGGUGGUCAACAGCACAAGGAGAAGAAAGUGCUGCCCCAAGAACGCACCCAUCUUACAGAGAGCAAUGCUCACCCAAAGUCCUUCCAGCAUUUUACAACCAGACUUGGCUGUGAUCUUCCAUUCAUGAGACAAUUCAUAUUGUCAGCUUGCUUCUUCAGU